rnacentral:rRNA from 1 species
AACGGGUGAGUAAUGCUUCGGAAUCUGCCCAAUGGUGGGGAAUAACCAGCCGAAAGGUUGGCUAAUACCGCAUACGCCCUACGGGGGAAAGCAGGGGAUCGCAAUACCUUGCGCCGAUGGAUGAGCCGAAGUCGGAUUAGCUAGUUGGUAGGGUAACGGCCUACCAAGGCGACGAUCCGUAGCUGGUCUGAGAGGACGACCAGCCACACUGGGACUGAGACACGGCCCAAACUCCUACGGGAGGCAGCAGUGGGGAAUAUUGGACAAUGGGCGCAAGCCUGAUCCAGCCAUGCCGCGUGAGUGAUGAAGGCCCUAGGGUUGUAAAGCUCUUUCACCGAUGAAGAUAAUGACGGUAGUCGGAGAAGAAGCCCCGGCUAACUUCGUG